AAAAAAGCAGGGGUCUGGUCUCCUUUAUGAGCAGGUCUCUCGUAGAUUUCAGGAACAUCACCGUUGUUAUUGGGUGAACCAAUGUCUUGUUUGUGGCUUAAGGUUCAGUAAAUGAUGGAACAUCU